GUUCGAUUCUGGCUCAGAUUGAACGCUGGCGGGAUGCUUUACAUGCAAGUCGAACGGCAGCACGGACUUCAGUCUGGUGGCGAGUGGCGAACGGGUGAGUAAUGUAUCGGAACGUGCCUAGUAGCGGGGGAUAACUACGCGAAAGCGUAGCUGUACAUACGCCCUUCGGGGGAAAGCAGGGGACCUUCGGGCCUCGCACUAUUAAACGGCCGAUAUCGGAUUAGCUAGUUGGUGGGGUAACGGCUCACCAGGCGACGAUCGUAGCUGGUUUGAGAGGACGACCAGCCACACUGGGACUGAAGGCCGGCCCAGACUCCUACGGGAGGCAGCAGUGGGAAUUUUGGACAAUGGGGAAACCCUGAUCCAGCCAUCCCGCGUGUGCGAUGAAGGCCUUCGGGUUGUAAAGCUUUUGGCGGGAAAACGGCACGGGAUAAUACGUACAGCCUGACGAUACACAGAAUAAGCACCAGCCUAACUACGUGCCAGCAGCCAUGACCAAUACGUAGGGUGCAAGCGUUAAUCGGAAUUACUGGGCGUAAAGCGUGCGCAGGCGGUUCGGAAAGAAGAUGUGAAAUCCAGAGCUUAACUAUGAACUGCAUUUUUUAACUACCGAGCUAGAGUGUAUCAGAGGGGUGGAAUUCCGCGUGUAGCAGUGAAAUGCACGUAGAUAUGCGGAGGAACACCGAUGGCGAAAGCAGCCUCCUGGGAUAACACUGACGCUCAUGCACGAAAGCGUGGGGAGCAAACAGGAUUAGAUACCCUGUUAGUCCACGCCCUAAACGAUGUCAACUAGCUGUUGGGGCCUUCGGGCCUUGGUAGCGCAGCUAACGCGUGAAGUUGACCGCCUGGGGAGUACGGUCGCAAGAUUAAAACUCAAAGGAAUUGACGGGGACCCGCACAAGCGGUGGAUGAUGUGGAUUAAUUCGAUGCAACGCGAAAAACCUUACCUACCCUUGACAUGUCUGGAAUCCGAAGAAUUUGGGAGUGCUCGCAAGAGAACCGGAACACAGGUGCUGCAUGGCUGUCGUCAGCUCGUGUCGUGAGAUGUUGGGUUAAGUCCCGCAACGAGCGCAACCUGUCAUUAGAUUUGCUACGAGGCACUCUAAUGAGACUGCCGGUGACAAACCGGAGGAAGGUGUGGGGAUGACGUCAAGUCCUCAUGGCCCUUAUGGGUAGAGCCACACACGUCAUGCAAUGGUCCGGGAUGGUCGCCAACCCGCGAGGGGAGCCAAUCCCAGAAACCCGAUCGUGAUCCGGACCGCAGUCUGCAACUCGACUGCGUGAAGUCGGAAUCGCUAGUAAUCGCGGAUCAGCAUGUCGCGGUGGGCCCGUUCCCGGGUCUUGUACACACCGCCGUCACACCAUGGGAGUGGGUUUUGCAGAAGUAGUUAGCCUAGCCGUAAGGAGGCGAUUACCACGGUAGGAUUCAUGACUGGGGUGAAGUCGUAACAAGGUAG
rnacentral:rRNA from 1 species